GGCUCAGCAGUCGGGUCUUCCUUCAAUGGUUGUACUCGAGUGCUUUGCCUUAUCUUCUAGGCUCGCGUCGCAAGGCGCAAGAUUCUAGGACUUUUACUGUGAAUAAAUUAGAGUGUUCAAAGCAGGCGUUUCGCUUUCAUACUCCAGCAUGGAAUAAUAAAACAGGACUUUGGUCGUGUUUUGUUGGUUUUAAGGACCGAAGUA
rnacentral:rRNA from 1 species